UUAUGUUUGCUCUCGUAGCUAAACCAAGGUAUUCUUUAUGCUUUAUUAAAAAUUUGUUUUUUGUUACAGCGGUAAUAUUCGAAUGUAAUUUAUUAAAAUCUUUAACAUCGUUUAUUAUAAUUGGUGGUGGUCGAUGAAUUUUGGUAUCAUUAAUGGCCGCAUUUUCAUUAUUUUUAUUUUCCAAAGGGCUACUAAUUGUUGGGGAACUAUCAGCUUUACGUUUUUUUGAAGAGCGCUUCUUUUUGAGUAUCCACUCAGUUUCUUUCAUCUUUCAUCAGUUCAUCUUCAUCCGUAUUCUAUACUUCAUCAACAUUUACAUUUGAUGGUUUUGGCGCUGUACUAGCAGGCUCGCUUAUACUGGCUUUCAGUUCUACGUUUUCUUUUUUGAAUGCUAUAUUAUCUUUGUGUAAUUGAUUACACAUCGCUUUUGUAACUCUUUAAUUGUAUUUACUCUAAACGUGCUUAGACUAUUUCUCGGCGUCACCUCAUGUUGAGGUUCAGCAAUUUUUUUGUUUUUAGCGAUUUCCCUACUGGGUGUUAGCAACCUGUCAUUUGGUCGGUAAUGCAGUUGGGAAUAAAACGUUUUAUUCUGUAUUUAUUAAACCUGUAUGGCAGCUUUGAUCACAGCUGGUAAUUGUAAGAAGAGAACAGCUGAUUGUACAGCUGAUUUAGUACGGCUCUCCCCAACCACAAUAACGCUUUGUGUUUUUUUUCUCCCAUCUCCUUUCUCUUUAUACAAAUUGUUUUUAUAAACUUUCGGUUCACUAACAAAACGUUUAAGGAAUUCAGUUUUCUUUUUUUACAAGAUUCCGCAAACCACAAAAGUGAAGACACAUUCAAUCCACGCCAGGACUCUGUGUCUUUAUUUAAUGCACAAAAAAAUUCGGUUUCGCAUUCAGUUUAACAAUGUAAUUUAGACUUUUCCACGGCACCGAAAAUUGCACUUGCGUUCACUUCAACUGUUCAUUGUUGUUGUAUAGUCUUAUAUGACGAAAGGCCUUCUAACGUCGGUUAACCUUUUGUUUUCGUUGAAGGAAAUGAGUAUAUUCGCAACAGGUACUGUAACUAAAAAUCGAAUAAGCAAUUGUCCGCUUCUUUCGGAUGUUGAACUAAAAAAAAGGCGAAGGUGCUGUUUUGAUGUGAAAUCAGUAAUAAUGGGCAAAUCAAGCUAUUAGCUUAUUUUUUAUGGAAGACUUAUCCAAAAUAUAAUAUAAUCGAGCGAAGACCAUCAACCUGUUGGGACAUGUCAACGUUGGAGUCUAAAAGAAAAGGCUUAUAUUGAUGUUGAAAGUUCUGCGAUUGUUGCUUCUUAUAAUUAGGGUAUGGUAGGAAUAUAUUUGGCAGACAUGCUCAUGGAGAUG